rnacentral:rRNA from 1 species
GUAGGUGGCAAGCGUUGUCCGGGAAUUAUUGGGGCGCAAAGCGCGCGCAGGCGGUUCUUUAAGUCUGAUGUGAAAGCCCACGGGCUCAACCGUGGAGGGUCAUUGGAAACUGGAGAACUUGAGUACAGAAGAGGAAAGCGGAAUUCCACGUGUAGCGGUGAAAUGCGUAGAGAUGUGGAGGAACACCAGUGGCGAAGGCGGCUUUCUGGUCUGUAACUGACGCUGAGGCGCGAAAGCGUGGGGAGCAAACAGGAUUAGAUACCCUGGUAGUCCACGCCGUAAACGAUGAGUGCUAAGUGUUAGGGGGUUUCCGCCCCUUAGUGCUGCAGCUAACGCAUUAAGCACUCCGCCUGGGGAGUACGGCCGCAAAGGCUGA